CAAUAGCGUAUAUUAAAGUUGUUGCGGUUAAAAAGCUCGUAGUUGGAUUUCUGCUGAGGACGACCGGUCCGCCCUUCGGGUGAGUAUCUGGUUUGGCCUUGGCAUCUUCUUGGUGAACGUAUCUGCACUUGACUGUGUGGUGCGGUACCCAGGACUUUUACUUUGAGGAAAUUAGAGUGUUUCAAGCAGGCACACGCCUUGAAUACAUUAGCAUGGAAUAAUAAGAUAGGACCUUGGUUCUAUUUUGUUGGUUUUCUAGAGCUGGAGGUAAUGAUUAAGUAGGGAUUAGGGUUGGGGGUCAUUCGUAUUAACUGUCAGAGGUGAAAUUCUUGGAUUUGUUAA
rnacentral:rRNA from 1 species